rnacentral:tRNA from 1 species
AUUUUUUUAGUAUAAAAAGUACAUCUGACUUCCAAUCAGAAAGUCUAAAUUUUAGAAAAAAUA